rnacentral:lncRNA from 1 species
GUGGUGGUGAUGUUGGUGAUGGUAUGGUGGUGGUGGUGGUGAUAGUGAUGGUGAUGGCAGGUACUCUAACCUUGCCUAGUAGUUUAAAGAGGAGGAUGGAUCAACUGUACUUCAAGUUCUGUUGUUGGCCUCCUCCUCUCAAAUACCUCCUUUCUAGUAGCUUCUGAUUUGCUUGUGUGUGCACUGAGCUGCUUCCCAGCCCCUUGUGAACUGUCACAGCAGUGCCGAGGAGUGGCUUCUGUGUCUCGUGGCAUUUUCUGUGUGGAAGUUGGGUUGCAAAGGGCCAUCUGGAUUUUGAGCUUCAGCUGCCUGAUUUCAAGGCCUGGGAUGUCUGCAUGCUACAUGCUUUCCCUGCCCAGUUCCUGAGCCUGAUUCUGCCUUUGCUUCAAUUCUUGUUAAACAAACAAACAAAACCAAACAACAACAACAAACACCCAACAGACUUGCAGUAUAGGCAUUUUUAGAUCUGAUUUGCAAUAACAGGUUACUAUGUGUCUUUGUGACGUAUUUAAAAUGAACUUUUGAUCAGAAGUCAAUUGUUGAUUGUCGCUUGUUCCGAGAAGAAAGAUAUGUACAUUAAUGUAAUUUGCUUUAUUGAGAAACUUUUGAGAACACCUUUAGAAAACAAGGUCCAUUACAUUUUAAAAAUCCCUUACUUAUUUUUUUUUUAUUUUUAUUGUAUGUGUUUGAGUGUUUUGCCUGCAUGUAUGUAUAUGUACCAUGUGCAUGCCUGGUGCCUGUGGAGUUCAGAGAGUGUCAGAUGCUCUGGAACUGGGACAGGUGGUUAUGAGCCACCAUGAGUGAGCUGGGUACUAACUCCAGAUUCUCUGCAUGAGCAUCAUGUGGUCCUAACGGCUGGGCCAUGCCUCCAGCCCCAACUUCACAUUUUAAUUCUGCAAGUGGGUAUACAUGAAACUUGGCAAAGCACUUUUUGCUUGCUUGAGUGUAUUUUAACUUAGAACAGCUUCAUGCUACAUUAUUUUAGUUUGGUCUCUGUGAUAAACCAUUAACCACAGAUGUCUUGGAGAGGUUUGUUUCAGCUUUGUCGUGUCUAUAUUUGAUAGAAGCUAAGGCAGGAACCGAAGCAGAAUUCACAGAGGAACACUGGUUACUGGCUUGCUCUCCACGACUUGCUCAAUUUGCUUUCUUAUAUAACCCAGGACCAACUUGUCCAAGGGUGAUCUGGCACAAAGUAGACUGGGCUCUCCCAUGUCCAUCAUUAAUCCAGAAAACACUCCACAGACUUGCCUACUGGCCAUUCUUACAAAGGUAGUUCCUGAAUUGAGGGUCUCUCUUCCCAAAUGACUCUGGCUUGUGUCUGGUUGACAAAAAUCAUGCAUUAUUGACCCCUUGUCAGCGUGACACACAAAAACAUCACUACUAAACCAUAGUCUUUCCUUUUUUUAUUUACCCCCAAUGUCUCAUGUUAAUAUCUUAAUAUAAACCACAUUGUAACUUUAUAAGUCUCACAGUCUAUAAAAAAUUCAAAUGCUUUAAAGUUUCAAAUUCUCCUUAAAGUAGCCAACAUCCCUUUAAAAGUCUAGAGUCUCCCCUCUGUCAUCUCUAAAUUAAGAUCAGGUACUUUCUUCUCAUUUGAAUGGGAAGAGCUAGGACAUAGUCACCAUCAAAUCAAUGCAAAGCCAACACUCGCUGUGUAAAUCAAAGCCUAUAAUCCCCAGGUCUUGGACUCAUCAGAGUCUUCUGAGCUCCCACGGGUCUGGGCAGCAUCACUUUUCCAGCUCUUUCAUGUGGCUUGUCCUGUAGCCUCAGGCGGGCUUCACUCCAUACCUCCUGCUGCUGUCUUUGUAUGAUCUUUGCAUCUCCCCAGGUCUCCAUAGCAACUGAGGCUACCACCUUCACCAGUGACCUCUUGGACUCUCUUUAGGUGCUCCGAUCCUGCCGCAUGGUGCCUGCCAAGCCUCAGUUUCUCUCCAUGACCCCCUUCAAUCUUGGGGUUCCUAAUGCAGUGUAGGCUGCACUUUCAUGAGUGGCCUCUCUCCACAGAGACAGACCCUGCCCCACAAUACACUGCCAAUUAGGCAAUCCCUGAGAUCCAUCCCCUCGUGCCCUCAAAAUCAGUACCAUGUGAGAGUGUGACAUCAAUUGUCCCAGUAAGGCAAAGGUUUCCCCCUUAGUCGGGCUGGUCUCUUGUUAAUCACAGCUUAUUAUUUUAGCCCCACCAGCAACCACAGAGCCUUAAUUCGAAAUAUCACACGAAUGACCCCGAUAGAGCCUUGGCUUUCCUCUGAAAUUUCACAGACCCAGGCCUCCAUGGUCGGCAAGUCUCUCGCCACCCCGCCCCCGCCAUGACCCACUCGUUAAUAACAGCAGCUCGUUAAGCCCUGAGCAUUUCAGCCCAAGGUUCCAGGUGCUUCCACAGUUCUUCCUCGGAAUAACAUGGUUAGGUCCAUUAAAGCAAAGCCCAUGUCCAGUACAAACUUCCGUUUUAGUUAGGGUUCUGUUGCUGUAGUGAAACACCAUGACCAAAAUAAACCCGAGGGGGAAAGGUUUAGCACCUCUUACUACUUAGUCACACUCCAUCCCUGAGAACUCACGACAGGAACCCAGAUGCUCAAACUGAAGCAGAGGCCACGGAGGAGCACUGAAUGCUGGCCUGUUCGGUUUGCUUUCUUAUACAGCCCAGGACCACGUGUCCAGGGGUAGCAUGGAUCUCACACAG